GAUUACAGGCAUGCGCCACCGCGCCCGGUCCCAACAGAACUUUUCUACAGUGAUGGAAAUGGACUAAAUCUACACUAUCUAAUAUGGUAGCCAUCAACCACAUGCAGCUCUCGAGCACUUUGAAAUGCAGGUGGUACAAAUUCUGGAUCAGAAAAGCAAAAGCAGCUGUCAGGACUUUUGAAAAUCAGCAUGACAAGCCAUAUCCCCAACUGUAAGCCUGGAGCCAGGCACUGACAAAGUCACAGCUAAAAAUCACAUCUAGGUUUUGUCAAUCCUUCCCAAGUAAGUACAUUGAUAGGGUACCUCGGGCUCCCCCAGUUGUCAGAAGAGGUCUGUACCUUCUCUGUGAAGAUCUACCAUUCAAAUAACCCUUACACAUCCUUGGAGGAGGUAUUAGACUAGUUAGGCAAUCAGGCUGGUGGGAGGGUGGGGAUCAAGAAAAGCAGAGGCAAACAGGACCAAACUUUCCUAGCUGAAAUAUCAAUUCAUUGAGGCGGUAGGCCCAUAAAAGCAGAACCAAUAGCCUUUGACACCUAAAAAAAAGUAGCACACCACCAAAGGUGUAAAAAGUACAAAAAGAUUAAAGGUAUGAAAACAGCAAAGAACGGCCAUUUUAAUGGAAGACACUGGGGACAUGGAGGGCCAGGGGACUGAUAUGCACCGGAGGCAUUAUUUCUUACUUUACUCAACACUCUUGGGAAGUCAAAGUCUUCACAACACUUUAGUCUCUGCCUCUACACUCCUUCUCAAUUCUUACAUCAUUAGGAAUGAGGGGCUUCCUUUCUUCUCCUGAAACCCCAUCAUCUUUGAA
rnacentral:lncRNA from 10 species